rnacentral:rRNA from 1 species
UACGGAGGGUGCAAGCGUUAUCCGGAUUCACUGGGGUUAAAGGGUGCGUAGGCGGGUUGGUAAGUCCGUGGUGAAAUCCCCAAGCUUAACUUGGGAACUGCCGUGGAUACUAUCAAUCUUGAAUAUCGUGGAGGUAAGCGGAAUAUGUCAUGUAGCGGUGAAAUGCUUAGAUAUGACAUAGAACACCAAUUGCGUAGGCAGCUUACUACACGAUCAUUGACGCUGAGGCACGAAAGCGUGGGGAGCAAACAGG